GUCUACGGCCAUACCACCCUGAACGCACCUGAUCUCGUCUGAUCUCGGAAGCAAAGCAGGGUCGGGCCUGGUUAGUACUUGGAUGGGAGAAAACAAAGAUCAACAAGCUUUUCUUCACU
rnacentral:rRNA from 1 species